GGAGAGGUGGCCGAGCGGUUUAAGGCGCACGCCUGGAACGCCUGUAUACGGAAAACCGUAUCGAGGGCUCGAAUCCCUCUCUCUCCGCCA
rnacentral:tRNA from 1 species